rnacentral:rRNA from 1 species
AGCGAACGCUGGCGGCAAGCUUAACACAUGCAAGUCGAACGAUGUAGCAAUACAUAGUGGCGGACGGGUGCGUAACACGUGGGAAUCUGCCUUUAGGUAAGGAAUAACUCAGGGAAACUUGAGCUAAUACCUUAUAAUGUCUUCGGACCAAAAAUUUAUUGCCUAAAGAUGAGCCCGCGGUUGAUUAGCUAGUUGGUGGGGUAAUGGCCUACCAAGGCAACGAUCUAUAGCUGGUCUUAGAGGAUGAUCAGCCACACUGGGACUGAGACACGGCCCAGACUCCUACGGGAGGCAGCAGUGGGGAAUAUUGGGCAAUGGACGAAAGUCUGACCCAGCUAUGCCGCGUGAAUGAUGAAGGCCUUAGGGUUGUAAAGUUCUUUUACCGGGGAAGAUAAUGACGGUACCCGGAGAAAAAGCUCCGGCUAACUUCGUGCCAGCAGCCGCAGUAA